rnacentral:rRNA from 1 species
UACGUAGGGUGCAAGCGUUGUCCGGAAUUAUUGGGCGUAAAGAGCUCGUAGGCGGUUUGUCGCGUCUGCUGUGAAAACCCGAGGCUCAACCUCGGGCCUGCAGUGGGUACGGGCAGACUAGAGUGCGGUAGGGGAGAUUGGAAUUCCUGGUGUAGCGGUGGAAUGCGCAGAUAUCAGGAGGAACACCGAUGGCGAAGGCAGGUCUCUGGGCAUUAACUGACGCUGAGACGCGAAAGCGUGGGGAGCGAACAGG